UACGUAGGGUCCGAGCGUUGUCCGGAAUUAUUGGGCGUAAAGGGCUCGUAGGCGGUUUGUCGCGUCGGGAGUGAAAACUCAGGGCUCAACCCUGAGCGUGCUUCCGAUACGGGCAGACUAGAGGUAUGCAGGGGAGAACGGAAUUCCUGGUGUAGCGGUGAGAUGCGCAGAUAUCAGGAGGAACACCGGUGGCGAAGGCGGUUCUCUGGGCAUGUCCUGACGCUGAGGAGCGAAAGUGUGGGGAGCGAACAGG
rnacentral:rRNA from 1 species